ACGGGUGAGUAACGCGUGGGUAACCUACCCUGUACACACGGAUAACAUACCGAAAGGUAUGCUAAUACGGGAUAAUAUAUUUGAGAGGCAUCUCUUAAAUAUCAAAGGUGAGCCAGUACAGGAUGGACCCGCGUCUGAUUAGCUAGUUGGUAAGGUAACGGCUUACCAAGGCAACGAUCAGUAGCCGACCUGAGAGGGUGAUCGGCCACAUUGGAACUGAGACACGGUCCAAACUCCUACGGGAGGCAGCAGUGGGGAAUAUUGCACAAUGGGCGAAAGCCUGAUGCAGCAACGCCGCGUGAGUGAUGAAGGCCUUCGGGUCGUAAAACUCUGUCCUCAAGGAAGAUAAUGACGGUACUUGAGGAGGAAGCCCCGGCUAACUACGUGCCAGCAGCCGCGGUAAUACGUAGGGGGCUAGCGUUAUCCGGAUUUACUGGGCGUAAAGGGUGCGUAGGCGGUCUUUCAAGUCAGGAGUGAAAGGCUACGGCUCAACCGUAGUAAGCUCUUGAAACUGGGAGACUUGAGUGCAGGAGAGGAGAGUGGAAUUCCUAGUGUAGCGGUGAAAUGCGUAGAUAUUAGGAGGAACACCAGUUGCGAAGGCGGCUCUCUGGACUGUAACUGACGCUGAGGCACGAAAGCGUGGGGAGCAAACAGGAUUAGAUACCCUGGUAGUCCACGCUGUAAACGAAGAGUACUAGGUGUCGGGGGUUACCCCCUUCGGUGCCGCAGCUAACG
rnacentral:rRNA from 1 species